CGGCCUCCCCAACCUCACCCCCCCCGCAGUCCUGCUCCACGCGGCGCCCGCUGCUCCCCGAUACGCAAAUAGAAGGAACAGAACCACCCCUCCCCCAUCAACUCCAGCGCUUCACACUCGGGUGGUACUCGGCCGCAGUAGGCCGCAAGCACAUCCUCGGGCUUGCUUGGAGACCUGGCCGGGCUGAGGGCGCAGGGUCGACGGAAAAGUGGAACUACUCGAGGCUGGGGAUUCGGGAGGGGGGACCUUUUGCGCGCUAGAACAAGAGAGAAGAUCGGGCCAGUGCGGCUUUGCCGAGCGCCGUUGUAAUGCGAACCAUAGAGAGGAGGAAAUAGUAAGCAAAUCGGGGGCGCUGGAUAGAGCGUCUCCAGCGACAGAGCGGCAAGGUCCCCCCUUCAGGCUGCGUGCUGUGUGGUCUUCCAAAAGCAGCGUGGCCAUAGUGGAGAACUAUGGAGAAAGAGUAGCAGGAAGAGGAGGAAAGAAAGACGGAGAGAGGAAGAAAGAAGGCAGCCAUGUAUCUGUGGAAUGCAAAGCUCGUUCCGCCACACUUCAGCAUGAUUAAGAGAAAGAAAGCAGAAGGAGAAAGAGGGAGCAAGAUUGGCUCCCCUUAAGUUUUACAGGACAAAGUAAACAAGCAACAAUCUUGGACAAAUCUGAGAAGCGGCUGAACAUGCCCACUGGCCCUUAAGUCAUCGAGGCAGGAAGGAAGCCCCACACCCCAAUACUGUUCUCCAGUGCAGCCCUGUAAAUUAAUGCUCGAAAUUGGCUUCCAUUUAAAAAAGUGCUUUGGAGCACUGUUGUGAGGGCAAAACCUGGGAUCCCAUUGACUCGUGUCUCCUUGCAACAUGCUUCAUGUAGAUCCCACCCAUUUGCUAGCUGCAAUUCUCUGUAAACCUGGGAGUAAUUCCCAUUAAGCACACUGGGGUUUACUUCUGAGUAAAGGCACAUACGCUGUAAAAGAAGGAACGGAGAACAAGCAAAGAAUCCAGAAAGGAGAAGAAAGAAAUAAACUAGUUCAAACAUUUAAA